AUUGAACGCUGGCGGCAUGCCUUACACAUGCAAGUCGAACGGCACCACCGGUGCUUGCGCCUGGUGGCUAGUGGCGAACGGGGGAGCAAUACAUCGGAACAUGUUCUCUACCCGGGGAUAGCCCGGCGACAGCCUGAUUAAUACCGCCUACGAUCUACGGAUGAUAGCGGGGGACCUUCUGGCCUUGCGCUAUCGGUUUGGCAGAGGGCUGCUUAGCUAGUUGGCGGGGUAAAGGCUUACCAACGCGACGAUCAUUAGCUGGUCUGAGAGGACGACCAGCCACACAGGCAGGGAGCCACGGCACAGACUCCUGCGUUGUGCAGCAGUGGGGAAUAUUGGGCGAUGCGCGAAUGCCUGAUCCAGCAAUGUGGCGUGUGGGAUGAAGGCCUUCGGGUUGUAAAGCACUUUUGUCCGGAAAGAAAUCCUUGGCCCUAAUACGGUCGGGGAAUGACGGUACCGGAAGAAUAAGCACCGGCUAACUACGUG
rnacentral:rRNA from 1 species